ACAGUGAAUCCUUCAUGCUGGUGAAAAAAUGGUUCUCUGGUGCCCAAGAAAAAGUGAGAAGAAUGUACCUCAGAACGUGCACAGGAUCUGGAGUCUGAAAUUGUGCAGAAUUCAUACUUAAAAGAGGAGAGAUUUAAAGGAAACUUGGUGACAGCAGAGCUGAGCUGAAAGUGGAGGCGUUUAUAUGGAGGGUGGAUGAAAAUGACAGAUAUUCUGCUUCAGCCUGGAAAAAAUGUGAAUGAUUUCCUUCUGAAGGAUCAGGGUAUGUGCAGAAGCUUUAGCAGAGUCUUCACAGAUCAUGGGAUGGACCCAAUCCAAGAA
rnacentral:lncRNA from 1 species